rnacentral:rRNA from 1 species
AUUGAACGCUGGCGGCGUGCUUAACACAUGCAAGUCGAGCGGUAACAGGUGUAGCAAUACAUGCUGACGAGCGGCGAACGGGUGAGUAAUGCUUCGGAAUCUUCCUCGCAGUUGGGAAUAACCUGGGGAAACUCAGGCUAAUACCGCAUACGAACUACGGUUGAAAGCAGGGGAUCGCAAGACCUUGCGCUAUGGGAUGAGCCGAAGUCGGAUUAGCUAGUUGGUAGGGUAACGGCCUACCAAGGCGACGAUCCGUAGCUGGUCUGAGAGGACGACCAGCCACACUGGGACUGAGACACGGCCCAGACUCCUACGGGAGGCAGCAGUGGGGAAUAUUGGACAAUGGGGGCAACCCUGAUCCAGCGACGCCGCGUGUGUGAAGAAGGCCUGCGGGUUGUAAAGCACUUUUAGUGGGGAUGAAAAGCCAAGGGUUAAUACCCUUUGGUCUUGACCUAACCCAAAGAAAAAGCACCGGCUAACUCUGUGCCAGCCGCCGCCGUAACAC